GGUUCAUCUUCAUUUUUUAAAAGAUACUCAUGUGGUCUCAUUUUACAUCAUAUUUAUGAUUCGAGCGUGACGAGUCUUGUAGACUAUGGCGCGUCUGGUGUAAAUAUAAAUUUUUAAUCCUGAGAUCUAAAAUGAGUUUAUUAACAUAUAAUUUGAUUCUUAUACAAAGGCUUUACAUCUGGCUGCUCAGAAUGGACAUCUACAGGUCACAAG
rnacentral:lncRNA from 1 species